UACGAAGGGUGCAAGCGUUAAUCGGAAUUACUGGGCGUAAAGGGUGCGUAGGCGGUUCGUUAAGUCUGUCGUGAAAUCCCCGGGCUUAACCUGGGAAUGGCAUUGGUGACUGCACGGCUAGAGUGUGUCAGAGGGGGGUAGAAUUCCACGUGUAGCAGUGAAAUGCGUAGAGAUGUGGAGGAAUACCGAUGGCGAAGGCAGCCCCCUGGGAUAACACUGACGCUCAUGCACGAAAGCGUGGGGAGCAAACAGG
rnacentral:rRNA from 1 species